rnacentral:rRNA from 1 species
UGAAGGACGAGCCUGCGGCCCAUCAGCUAGUUGGUGAGGUAAGAGCUCACCAAGGCGAAGACGGGUAGCUGGUCUGAGAGGAUGAUCAGCCACACUGGAACUGAGACACGGUCCAGACUCCUACGGGAGGCAGCAGUGGGGAAUAUUGCGCAAUGGGCGAAAGCCUGACGCAGCCACGCCGCGUGAGCGAUGAAGGCCUUCGGGUCGUAAAGCUCUGUGGGGAGAGACGAAGAAAGCCCGUGAAGAGCGGGCCUUGACGGUAUCUCCUUAGCAAGCACCGGCUAACUCCGUGCCAGCAGCCGCGGUAAUACGGAGGGUGCAAACGUUGCUCGGAAUCAUUGGGCGUAAAGCGCACGUAGGCGGCGAAGCAAGUUGGGUGUGAAAGCCCUGGGCUCAACCCAGGAAGUGCAUUCAAAACUGCUUCGCUUGAAUCUCGGAGGGGGUCAGAGAAUUCCCGGUGUAGAGGUG